GUGCAGCCAAUUAAGCCGACCAGGUCCCCUUCCCCAUGGGAGCUUGGUGUGCAAUGGUUGCAAACAGCAGCCUCCUUGGUAGUGUAUGCAUCCUAUUGCCUAUAUAGGCUGCCCUAAGGGACCUUGGAGACAAUU